rnacentral:rRNA from 1 species
CCUACGGGUGGCAGCAGUGAGGAAUAUUGGUCAAUGGACGCAAGUCUGAACCAGCCAUGCCGCGUGCAGGAAGACGGCCCUAUGAGUUGUAAACUGCUUUUGUACGAGGGUAAACGCAGAUACGCGUAUCUGUCUGCAAGUAUCGUACGAAUAAGGAUCGGCUAACUCCGUGCCAGCAGCCGCGGUAAUACGGAGGAUUCAAGCGUUAUCCGGAUUUAUUGGGUUUAAAGGGUGCGUAGGCGGUCGGUUAAGUUAGAGGUGAAAUCCCGAGGCUCAACUUCAGAAUUGCCUCUGAUACUGGUCGGCUAGAGAGGAGUUGCGGUAGGCGGAAUGUGUGGUGUAGCGGUGAAAUGCUUAGAGAUCACACAGAACCCCGAUUGCGAAGGCAGCUUACCAAGCUACUACUGACGUUGAGGCACGAAAGCGUGGGGAGCAAACAGGAUUAGAUACCCUGGUAGUC